rnacentral:rRNA from 1 species
UACAGAGGUCCCAAGCGUUGUUCGGAUUCAUUGGGCGUAAAGGGUGCGUAGGUGGCAUGGUAAGUCGGGUGUGAAAUCCCGGGGCUCAACUCCGGAACUGCACUCGAUACUGCCGUGCUCGAGUACUGGAGAGGAGACUGGAAUUUACGGUGUAGCAGUGAAAUGCGUAGAUAUCGUAAGGAAGACCGGUGGCGAAGGCUAGUCUCUGGACAGUUACUGACACUGAGGCACGAAGGCCAGGGGAGCAAACGGG